CUGUUGUAAAAAUAAGACAGUAUUUCUAAAAUUGGAGCGAUACAGUAGAUUGGCGAGGCCCCUGCGCGGGGACGGCACGCAAAAAGAAGAGGGUAUUUGU
rnacentral:snRNA from 1 species